CUAAGGAUUUUUUUUAUUUCUGCUCAGGACGAACGCUGGCGGCGUGCCUAAUACAUGCAAGUCGAACGCUUCUUUUUCCACCGGAGCUUGCUCCACCGGAAAAAGAAGAGUGGCGAACGGGUGAGUAACACGUGGGUAACCUGCCCAUCAGAAGGGGAUAACACUUGGAAACAGGUGCUAAUACCGUAUAACAAUCAAAACCGCAUGGUUUUGAUUUGAAAGGCGCUUUCGGGUGUCGCUGAUGGAUGGACCCGCGGUGCAUUAGCUAGUUGGUGAGGUAACGGCUCACCAAGGCCACGAUGCAUAGCCGACCUGAGAGGGUGAUCGGCCACAUUGGGACUGAGACACGGCCCAAACUCCUACGGGAGGCAGCAGUAGGGAAUCUUCGGCAAUGGACGAAAGUCUGACCGAGCAACGCCGCGUGAGUGAAGAAGGUUUUCGGAUCGUAAAACUCUGUUGUUAGAGAAGAACAAGGAUGAGAGUAACUGUUCAUCCCUUGACGGUAUCUAACCAGAAAGCCACGGCUAACUACGUGCCAGCAGCCGCGGUAAUACGUAGGUGGCAAGCGUUGUCCGGAUUUAUUGGGCGUAAAGCGAGCGCAGGCGGUUUCUUAAGUCUGAUGUGAAAGCCCCCGGCUCAACCGGGGAGGGUCAUUGGAAACUGGGAGACUUGAGUGCAGAAGAGGAGAGUGGAAUUCCAUGUGUAGCGGUGAAAUGCGUAGAUAUAUGGAGGAACACCAGUGGCGAAGGCGGCUCUCUGGUCUGUAACUGACGCUGAGGCUCGAAAGCGUGGGGAGCAAACAGGAUUAGAUACCCUGGUAGUCCACGCCGUAAACGAUGAGUGCUAAGUGUUGGAGGGUUUCCGCCCUUCAGUGCUGCAGCUAACGCAUUAAGCACCCGCCCGGGAGUCC
rnacentral:rRNA from 1 species